rnacentral:rRNA from 1 species
GAUGCCCAUUAGUUGUUGUGAGGCUCGACCUUGCAGUAAUGCAGUUAACACCAGUAAGUGUGCCGCCUGGGNAGUACGGUCCCAAGAUUAAAAUUCAAAGGAAUAGACGGGGACCCGCACAAGCGGUGGAGCAUGUGGUUUAAUUCGAAGAUACGCGAAGACCCUUACCUGGCCUUGCCAUUGAUAGAAUCUAGUAGAGAUACUGGAGUGCUAGCUUGCUAGAACUUGAAAACAGGUGCUGCACGGCUGUCGUCAGCUCGUGUCGUGAGAUGUUGGGUUAAGUCCCGCAACGAGCGCAACCCUCGUCGUUAGUUGCUAACAGUUCGGCUGAGAACUCUAACGAGACUGCCUUCGUAAGGAGGAGGAAGGUGAGGACGACGUCAAGUCAUCAUGGCCCUUACGGCCAGGGCUACACACGUGCUACAAUGGGGUGUACAGAAAGCUGCAAUAUCGCGAGAUGGAGCAAAUCUCAAAAACACCUCCCAGUUCGGAUUGUUCUCUGCAACUCGAGAACAUGAAGUUGGAAUCGCUAGUAAUCAUAGAUCAGCAUUGCUACGGUGAAUACGUUCCCGGGUCUUGUACUCACCGCCCGUCACACCAUGGGAGUUGAUUUCGCCUCAAGUCAAAAUGCUAAAAUAGCUAUUGCCCACGGCGGAAUCAGCGACUGGGGUGAAGUCGUAACAAGGUAACC